GAGAGCGCCGAGGCGGUGCCUCUCAGAGUCGUCAUGGAGGUCGCCUUCACACUCGGUGUCUGGGUUUUGAGCACGCUAGGCGCGGUGCGGGGCGACUCGAUCCAGUCCGAGGAUCCCGAAGUGUUCCGGAGAGAGGGUGAUUCCGUGACCCUGCGCUGCUCCUACAGCACCAGCAGCAAUUAUCCCGACCUGUACUGGUACCGGCAGUAUCCGAGCCGAGCCCCGCAGUACAUCCUGUUCAGAGGAGCGAGGUCACAGAGCGCUUACAAGGACACUGCAGGAUUCGCCCAGAAGCGCUUUUCUUCCCAAGCUGACUACAGCACAACCGUGUUGAACAUCACCGCCCUGGAGUGGGCAGACAGCGCCGUGUAUUACUGCGCCCUGAGUGUGGCACCGUGAGACAGUCCUAUAGGAGACCUGUACAAAAACCCUCCCUGCCUUAGAGCAGCACAAGUGACAGACACCGGAGCCGCCGGCAGCGCCGUGGGAACGAACUUUAAGAUUCAAAGUGUGUGGAAACCUGAGUGACGCCCUGUCCUGUCCUCCCACUCAUCACCCUUCCAACCUGAAUGAAGUGCUUCGUCAGCGACAUCAACAUGUCUCCCCAGGACAAUACCGAGGGCAGGACCUUAAACCCAGAAGCCUCUUCAAUAUAUUUUCCUCAAGCUCCCAGGGACAGGCAGGCUGUGAUG